UAGGGAAUUUUCCGCAAUGAGCGAAAGCUUGACGGAGCGACACAGCGUGCAGGAUGAAGGUCUUCGGAUUGUAAACUGCUGUUGUAAGGGAAGAAAAAAUUUAAUAGGAAAUGAUUAAAUCUUGACGGUACCUUAUUAGAAAGUGACGGCUAACUAUGUGCCAGCAGCCGCGGUAAUACAUAGGUCACAAGCGUUAUCCGGAAUUAUUGGGCGUAAAGAGUUUGUAGGCGGUUUAUCAAGUCUAGAGUUAAAGCCUGAGGCUCAACCUCAGUCCGCUCUGGAUACUGGUUAACUAGAGUUAUAUAGAGGUAAACGGAAUUCUUAGUGAAGCGGUGGAAUGCGUAGAUAUUAGGAAGAACACCAACGGCGAAGGCAGUUUACUGGAUAUACACUGACGCUCAAGAACGAAAGCGUGGGGAGCAAACAGG
rnacentral:rRNA from 1 species